UACGUAGGGAGCGAGCGUUAUCCGGAUUUAUUGGGCGUAAAGCGUGUGUAGGCGGUUUGUUAAGUUUAAGAUUAAAGCCUGGAGCUCAACUCCAGUUCGUCUUAAAAACUGGCAGACUAGAGUGCGGUAGAGGCAAACGGAAUUUCUAGUGUAGCGGUGAAAUGCGUAGAUAUUAGAAGGAACACCAGUGGCGAAAGCGGUUUGCUGGGCCGUUACUGACGCUGAGGCACGAAAGCGUGGGGAGCAAAUA
rnacentral:rRNA from 1 species